rnacentral:misc_RNA from 1 species
AACAUCGCGCACCUGCGGGAACCUGCGGAGGGAUCAUUACAGAGUUGCAAAACUCCCUAAACCAUUGUGAACGUUACCUAAACCGUUGCUUCGGCGGGCGGCCCGGGUCCUUCCCGGCGCCCCUCGGCCCUCGCGGGCGCCCGCCGGAGGUAAACCGAACUAUUGCAUUGUAUGGCCUCUCUGAGUCUUCUGUACUGAAUAAGUCAAAACUUUUAACAACGGAUCUCAGAUCGGAAGAGC